rnacentral:rRNA from 1 species
GAGUGCAGAAGGGGAGAGNGGAAUUCCAUGUGUAGCGGUGAAAUGNGUAGAUAUAUGGAGGAACACCGGUGGCGAAAGCGGCUCUCUGNUCUGUCACUGACGCUGAGGCUCGAAAGCGUGGGUAGCGAACAGGAUUAGAUACCCUGGUAGUCCACGCCGUAAACGCUGAGUGCUAGGUGUUAGGUCCUUUCCGGGACUUAGUGCCGACGCUAACGCAUUAAGCACUCCGCCUGGGGAGUACGACCGCAAGGUUGAAACUCAAAGGAAUUGACGGGGGCCCGCACAAGCGGUGGAGCAUGUGGUUUAAUUCGAAGCAACGCGAAGAACCUUACCAGGUCUUGACAUCCCGAUGCCCGCUCUAGAGAUAGAGUUUUUCUUCGGAACAUCGGAGACAGGUGGUGCAUGGUUGUCGUCAGCUCGUGUCGUGAGAUGUUGGGUUAAGUCCCGCAACGAGCGCAACCCUUAUUGUUAGUUGCCAUCAUUAAGUUGGGCACUCUAGCGAGACUGCCGGUAAUAAACCGGAGGAAGGUGGGGAUGACGUCAAAUCAUCAUGCCCCUUAUGACCUGGGCUACACACGUGCUACAAUGGUUGGUACAACGAGUCGCAAGCCGGUGACGGCAAGCUAAUCUCUGAAAGCCAAUCUCAGUUCGGAUUGUAGGCUGCAACUCGCCUACAUGAAGUCGGAAUCGCUAGUAAUCGCGGAUCAGCACGCCGCGGUGAAUACGUUCCCGGGCCUUGUACACACCGCCCGUCACACCACGAGAGUUUGUAACACCCAAAGUCGGUGAGGUAACCAUUUAUGGGGCCA